CCUACGGGAGGCUGCAGUGGGGAAUAUUGGGCAAUGGGCGCAAGCCUGACCCAGCAACGCCGCGUGAAGGAAGAAGGCUUUCGGGUUGUAAACUUCUUUCAAGAGGGAAGAGCAGAAGACGGGACAGCGAGAAGAAGACACGGCGAACUACGUGCCAGCAGCCGCGGUAAUACGGAGGUGGCAAGCGUGGUCCGGAGUUACUGGGUGGAAAGGGCGGGAAGCAGGGAAGCCAAGUCAGAGGUGCAAUCCCGCGGCUCAACCGCGGAACUGCAUUUGAAACUGUUUUUCUUGAGUACCGGAGAGGUCAUCGGCAUUCCUUGUGUAGCGGUGAGAUGCGUAGAUAUCUGGAAGAACACCAGUGGCGAAGGCGGCUGCCUGGCCGGCCACUGACGGUGAGGCGCGAAAGCGUGGGGAGCAAACCGGAUUAGAUACCCCAGUAGUC
rnacentral:rRNA from 1 species